CCGCGUGAGUGAUGAAGGCCUUAGGGUUGUAAAGCUCUUUCGCCGGGGAAGAUAAUGACCGUAACCGGAGAAGAAGCCCCGGCUAACUUCUUGCCAGCAACCGCGGUAUU
rnacentral:rRNA from 2 species